rnacentral:tRNA from 1 species
CAGUAGUUAGUUUAUUUAAAAUAUAAUAUUUGGGUUAUUAAGAUUUAUUACUGA